ACCCAUACUAUUUAUCAACAAAUACUUCUGCAUAUUAACAACAUCGCGUUGGGAAGGGGGGAAACCUGAAUUAAUACUAUCAUAAUGAAAUGUAAGCAUUCUAGUAUUGCUGUGAUACAUAUGACAUCAAUAUAUUCACAGUGUGAGAAAUCUAGAGCGGAUACCAGCAUGUAAAAGACAACAACAAAUCUCCUGUUAAACAAAAUUACUGUAUCUAUUAUGUAAAUAAGAUAACCUGAUAAAAUUGGGAGAGUCGUGCAAUCAUAUAUAUUUACUUAAGAGUUCUUAUGAUGCCUUGUCAACAUAUCCUAGAGACAAACUAUAUAACAGUGGCAUGUAAAUAUUUGGAUAGUCUAUGCUCAUUCCUCUGUUGUUCAAGGCGACUAGAGUUUAUUUAUAAGUAAUUAAAGAGUAACUGCAGCGUUCAGUAAGGAUCUUUCUUUGAUACAAUGUGUGGUCUAACCAAAAGUGAAGGAAAAUGGUCAUAUUACUUCAUACAGCUACUGAAGUUCAUAUUAACUGGUAUGCAAUAUCGCAUGGUUGUUUGCAGGGCUAUAUUCCCAUUUGGUUACUAGGAAAAGCAGCAGCACUAUACCUAACUUGAUCUCAUUAUUAUCAUUAAUCAUGUCUAGCUCUUAAAGUUUCUAUUAAAACUUUCUCCUGUUUAAAAUUGACUCUGUGUAUUUGCAGGAUAUUCGCCCCAAGUCCAGCAAAGUACCAGUCGGGCCUCGUGUGGUGAAAAAACCGGAUGUCUUAAAAUGCACUUAUGAUGGAAACUUGCCUGUCACAAAGAACCCUGGUGGUGCAACAUAAUUUGCACAAAGGGAACAUAGUCAAAGUUUGCAUCAUUGAUCAUAUCUCUCCAGGCUCCAGUUUAUAGACACAAUGUGUUUUGAAAUCUACAGACGGAUCAUGGUCGAACGAACUAAAAUAAAGGUUCAGAUUAUCUGAACCAUAGGUCUUAGGUGGGUUGAUGUUAGCCACCAAGUAAAAUGAAAAUUCUGUUAGUGAGUGUGUAACUACUUAUCCAAAUGUUCUUAGUUACCUGAAUAUUGAAAGGGUUCGAAAUGUAGGAUGAAUCAGAAGGAUGGUUGCAUCAUAAUUUCCACUAUGGCCUGAAACUGCAAGAUCAUAUGCAAACUUUUAAUAUAAAGGAAUGUUCAUCUGGAAGGCUGAGAAAGCCAGAAACUAGCACUUCACUAGCUAGUGUUUUUUCUCAUUCUUCAAAUUUGGUACAUUGCAUGACUCUCAAUUUAAAGCAACACACUGAGUGACAGAUCUCUCAAGAGUGAAGAAACAUAUCGUACAAUCAACUCUCUCAACAUACUUACCUCUGGUGAAUCUGAAGUUGGUGUAGUCAGCCUAGCAAAAUCUUUAAUCAUCUUGAAAGGUAGAAGAAACAAAUACAACUCUGAUUUGCCAAGGCAUGCAUUUUGAUUGUAGCAGAAGAGCGCAGGCAUGCAUUCUGCAUUAACGUGUGUUUUCACUGCAGAAGACAAACGUUACAAAUAUCAGUAGUGAAUAAAUUGUAAUAAUGAAAAGAAAAUAAAAACAAAGGUUUUAUAGUCAGGCAGUCAGCAAGAGGGCUGCUUAUAGUCAUACUCUCACUACCAUAAAAAGCAUGGAUUGUAGAGAUGAUUUACCAUAAAAAAAUGUAGCACGAACGCGAUAUUUUUUACCCAUUCUCUGAAUCCAUUAUCUACGACACAACACACACGCAAGAAGCUGAGCUGACAGUAAAUCAGCAACAAAGAGUCAAACAUCCUUUUGUUUGGGACAUAGGAAUCACUUUCCAACUUCUCAAAUGUGGCUCAACAUUUUAUCAAACACCUAAAGAGCAUAUUCUUAGUGAUAGUGGAAUUAGAUUCUCAAUAACAAGUUGGAUUUAAUUAA
rnacentral:lncRNA from 1 species